rnacentral:rRNA from 1 species
CACGUAGGGGGCAAGCGUUGUCCGGAUUUAUUGGGCGUAAAGAGCUCGUAGGCGGUUCGCUAAGUCGGGUGUGAAACCUCCAGGCUCAACCUGGAGACGCCACCUGAUACUGGUGUGACUCGAGUCCGGUAGGGGAGCGUGGAAUUCCUGGUGUAGCGGUGAAAUGCGCAGGUAUCAGGAGGAACACCAGCGGCGAAGGCGGCGCUCUGGGCCGGAACUGACGCUGAGGAGCGAAAGCGUGGGUAGCAAACAGG